rnacentral:tRNA from 1 species
GGGCCCGUAGCUCAAAUGGUUAGAGCAACCGGCUCAUAAUCGGUUGGUUCUCGGUUCGAUCCCGAGCGGGCCCA